AUCGCAAAGUCAAAAAGAUCACGACCCUUUAAGCUGAGAUCUGUAGGACGGCUAGGAUCCGUUGGAAUUUAAUCCAACGGUGGAAAUCGCGAGUGCACCGCGCGCGUAUAUGGUCUGGUUUUGGCCGAGCCCCAGAGGACAAGGUAUCGAAAGCGCAACCUCUUCAGAGUUCAUCGUUUGGGCCAAGAAAGUUCCGGGCCUUACAACGUAAAAUUCGAUCGCAUUGUUCCGCCCCGAAUUCCAGACAUUUUUUUCUCGAUCUGUAUGAGACGUUGGGCGCAAUUACCCAACUGAGAAGAAAGCCGAACUAGUGGAAUUUGUUGGCGUGCGAGAUUAGCUGAGCAGCCCCGGAGGUGGUGGGAGUUGAAGAGGAGAAUGAAUCAGAGAUUCGGUGGCGCGAGGCAGCCCACCGGCACUCCGUCGCUGGCCUGGUCGUGCGUCGUGGUCGUCGCCUCCCUCCUUGCUGGCGCCUCCGUUGUCCACAACAUCUACAAGCCCGAUCUGACGUUGCCUCCACUGGAGAGCAUCGAGGAGGCCAAGAAGAAGCAACCCGAGAAGGAAUGAAGGAAAAGCUCCUGUCUUGAAACGUAGAGAUGGUUUAGCUAAUGCCUUUUCCUCCUAGACAAGGAGCCAAAUAACGAUUUUGUCAAUUGGCCAUUCUCCGUGAUCUUGCUUUGUUGUACCCAUUUUAAGUGUCAACUGUGUUCUUUUACUUCCCAUUGCUCACUUGGAUAAUAUUUCAUCUUUCUGCUGAUUCUGCAAAAUGGACUUGAGGGAGCCUGGUUUCUGCUAAUUCGUCCAAGGUUUUUUCCGGCAGGACUUGCGAACUCAAACUCAAAUGCCAUGCGAGGUUAGUAAUCUUAUGUUUAUCUCAGUAAACUUGUUCGUGGUCAA